UAGUCGUGACAAGGUUUCCGUAGGUGAACCUGCGGAAGGAUCAUUACGUUCAGUAGCCUAGCUACUGUCAGUGGGGCUCGUUAGUCUGCAUAGCUUAAACGCUGAUGAGCAGCAGGCCCCUCGUCUUCACCCUUGUUUUUGCGUACCCAUGUUUCCUCGGUGGCUUGCCGCCGGCUGGACAAUACUAUAACCUUUUAAUUUUCAAUCAGCGUCUGAAAAACUUAAUAAUUACAA
rnacentral:misc_RNA from 1 species